CAGCAAAAUAAUGCAGACAAGGUGGAGAACAUGGAGGUGGAGACUAGUUUAUCAUCUCCACCUUCACCUCCAGAUGGCUCAACCGCUCCGGUUGCGCCUCCUCAGCCAUAGCUGUCUUCGUCGUCUCAGGAUGAGAUAGAGCCGACGCCAAAGAGGGCCAGUCUAAAUGGGCUGUCAGAUCAGGUCAUGCCUCCUCAGGCCCAGACGCCAUCGUCCUCUCAG